GAUGAAGAACGUAGCGAAAUGCGAUAAGUAAUGUGAAUUGCAGAAUUCAGUGAAUCAUCGAAUCUUUGAACGCACAUUGCGCCCCCCAGUAUUCUGGCGGGCAUGCCUGUUCGAGCGUCAUUUCAACCAUCAAGCCCUGCUUGUGUUGGGGUCCUGCGGCUGCCCGCAGGCUCUGAAAACCAGUGGCGGGCUCGCUAGUCACACCGAGCGCAGUAGCACAUCUCGCUCAGGGCGUGCGGCGGGCUCCAGCCGUUAAAGCACCCACCUUUCGCAAGGUUGACCUCGGAUCAGGUAGGAAUACCCGCUGAACUUAAGCAUAUCAAUAAGCGGAGGA
rnacentral:misc_RNA from 1 species